rnacentral:misc_RNA from 1 species
AUAUAUCAACUUCUUCAGCUUUUGCUUGUUGAGUGUUGGAUGUGGGGGCCUUUUUUGCUGGUCUUUCUAAGGUCAGCUCCCCUGAAAUGCAUUAGCGGAACAAUUUGUGGACCGUUCAUUGGUGUGAUAACUAUCUACGCUAUUGACGUGAAGCAGUUCAGCUUCUAACAGUCCAUUGACUUGGACAAAUUUUCAUUA